GAUCAUGGCUCAGGAUGAACACUAGCUACAGGCUUAACGCAUGCAAGUCGAGGGGCAGCAUGGUCUUAGCUUGCUAAGGCCGAUGGCGACCGGCGCACGGGUGAGUAACACGUAUCCAACCUGCCGUCUACUCUUGGACAGCCUUCUGAAAGGAAGAUUAAUACAAGAUGGCAUCAUGAGUUCACAUGUUCACAUGAUUAAAGGUAUUCCGGUAGACGAUGGGGA
rnacentral:rRNA from 1 species